AGUGAACGCUGGCGGUAGGCCUAACACAUGCAAGUCGAACGGCAGCACAGUAAGAGCUUGCUCUUACGGGUGGCGAGUGGCGGACGGGUGAGGAAUACAUCGGAAUCUACUUUUUCGUGGGGGAUAACGUAGGGAAACUUACGCUAAUACCGCAUACGACCUACGGGUGAAAGCAGGGGAUCUUCGGACCUUGCGCGAUUGAAUGAGCCGAUGUCGGAUUAGCUAGUUGGCGGGGUAAAGGCCCACCAAGGCGACGAUCCGUAGCUGGUCUGAGAGGAUGAUCAGCCACACUGGAACUGAGACACGGUCCAGACUCCUACGGGAGGCAGCAGUGGGGAAUAUUAGACAAUGGGCGCAAGCCUGAUCCAGCCAUACCGCGUGGGUGAAGAAGGCCGUCGGGUUGGAAAGCCCUUUUGUUGGGAAAGAAAAGCAGCAGGUUAAUACCCCGCUGUUCUGACGGUACCCAAAGAAUAAGCACCGGCUAACUUCG
rnacentral:rRNA from 1 species